AUUGAACGCUGGCGGCAUGCUUUACACAUGCAAGUCGAACGGUAACAGGCCGCAAGGUGCUGACGAGUGGCGAACGGGUGAGUAAUGCAUCGGAACGUGCCCAGUCGUGGGGGAUAACUACUCGAAAGAGUAGCUAAUACCGCAUACGAUCUAUGGAUGAAAGCGGGGGACCGUAAGGCCUCGCGCGAUUGGAGCGGCCGAUGUCAGAUUAGGUAGUUGGUGGGGUAAAGGCUCACCAAGCCAACGAUCUGUAGCUGGUCUGAGAGGACGACCAGCCACACUGGGACUGAGACACGGCCCAGACUCCUACGGGAGGCAGCAGUGGGGAAUUUUGGACAAUGGGCGCAAGCCUGAUCCGGCAAUGCCGCGUGCAGGAAGAAGGCCUUCGGGUUGUAAACUGCCUUUGUACGGAACGAAACGGCUCUGGUUAAUACCCGGGGCUAAUGACGGUACCGUAAGAAUAAGCACCGGCUAACUACGUG
rnacentral:rRNA from 1 species